UCUUCUUCUGCUCCUUGCCUCCUUCCCUUCUUCUGCGUUCUUCAGUUGUGACUUGUGAAUUGAAUCUCGGAUAAACAAUGAAUCAUUUGGCACGAUUCUCUGGAAUUGGAUAAUAUUUGGAUACUGAGAACCAAGUUGAAUCUUUGGAAAAAUGAAUCAUUAAUCAAUUGUUUUUUUAUCUUAUUGGUCGCUAGGAUUAAUUUUGAAUCCUUCUUUUGAUCGGCUAUUCAUUCCUGAUUCUUUAUCUCAAGGAGGAAAUUGAGAGGGUCGUUUCUUCUGGAACCAAUUUUACGAAAUUUCGCUAAUUCGUAUCCAACCCAUUUGUUAAAACAUAUUUAUUCUUUUGUUUUCAUUGCAAGAUAAUAAAUACCAAAAUUAACAAAGAUCCCGUGUAAAUGUUCUUGAUUCAGCUUGCCAUGGUCAUUUUGGCCAAGAAAAAUUCCAGUUGUAAAACCUAACAUCUCGGAGUUUCUUCAAUUUGCUUCGCAUAUUGGCCAAGGGAGGAACAAAUUAGGACCACUCAUGAUGAUGAUCCUAUGUUUGGAGUACCAAAAGCUCAAGCAUGCAAUGUCUGUUCACCCAGAUAUAAGCUUUGAGAGCAGCCGAUGAUGCUUCAUGAGCUGGGAAAUGACAAAGCUCAUUUAAGAGAACCAAUCAAUGGACCUGUUGAAGAAGAUGAUGGGAAUCUGUUGGGCUCACCGCUGCACAGUCUGUAAUAGUCACACAUGGAGAGCGUGUAUGCAUGCUUAGGUGACGUAGAUACGAUGGACGCAAGCACAGACGAUCAAGAGCUGGUGAGGGUGAGUAAUCAUUUAGUAAGGUAAGAAUUAUGACGCAACCAAACCGUCAAAGUUGUUGCUACCGGUGGUUCAACUUGGUUCUCAGUAUCCACAGCCAGUUAACCGGUGAAGCUGUUGCUACCGGUGGUUGUCUACAGAUCUGCAUACGAAGAUGAACAUGGAAUCGGGGUUUGCUGUUGUUUGAAAUGUAUGUACUAUAAUAGUUUUGUUGGAUGUAUAUGUAUUUUUCAAUUUCUGUUUAUGUAAUUUUCGAUUUCUGUCGAGUUGACUUAACAAAAACCAGUUAACUCGUGAGCACCCGUGAACCCGCAAGCUUUACCCGGGACGGGCGCGGGUCAGAUAGAUGACCACCCGUGAAGAAUUUCAACCCGCAAGCUUAGGCUUGUAUUAAC